CCCGAGAUGAGUUCUCCCUGACCCUUUAAGGGUCCUGAAGGAACGUUGAAGACGACGACGUUGAUAGGCCGGGUGUGUAAGCGCAGCGAUGCGUUGAGCUAACCGGUACUAAUGAACCGUGAGGCUUAACCUUACAACGCCGAAG
rnacentral:rRNA from 1 species